rnacentral:rRNA from 1 species
AUUGAACGCUGGCGGCAUGCCUUACACAUGCAAGUCGAACGGCAGCACGGGUGCUUGCACCUGGUGGCGAGUGGCGAGCGGGUGAGUAAUACAUCGGAACAUGUCCUGUAGUGGGGGAUAGCCCGGCGAAAGCCGGAUUAAUACCGCAUACGAUCUACGGAUGAAAGCGGGGGACCUUCGGGCCUCGCGCUAUAGGGUUGGCCGAUGGCUGAUUAGCUAGUUGGUGGGGUAAAGGCCUACCAAGGCGACGAUCAGUAGCUGGUCUGAGAGGACAACCAGCCACACUGGGACUGAGACACGGCCCAGACUCCUACGGGAGGCAGCAGUGGGGAAUUUUGGACAAUGGGCGAAAGCCUGAUCCAGCAAUGCCGCGUGUGUGAAGAAGGCCUUCGGGUUGUAAAGCACUUUUGUCCGGAAAGAAAUCCUUGGCCCUAAUACGGUCGGGGGAUGACGGUACCGGAAGAAUAAGCACCGGCUAACUACGUG